CUCACCCGUUUUGCCCAGCUUCCCACUGCGUGUCCCUCAAUCAUCAGCUGGUUCUCAGUAUCUGUAGGUCUGAUUCUGCCUUUUGUUUUUCAUUCGUUUGUUUUGUUUUUUACAUUUCACAUAAAAGUAAAAUCAUAUGGGGCGCCUGGGAGGCUCAGUUGGUUAAGCGUCCAACUUCGGCUCAGAUCAUGAUCUCACUGUUGGUGAGUUCUGUGCUACAGCUCAGAGCCUGGACCCUGCUUCAGAUUCUGGGUCUCCCUCUCUCUCUUCCCUGUCCCCACUCACUCUCUCUCUCUCUCAAAAAUAAAUAAACCUUUAAAAAUGUUAGAAAAAAAAGUAAAAUCACAGGUAUUCGUCUUUGGCUUGCUCACUAAAUAUUUAUGAUAACCUUCUGACUUAGGUGUUAUGGUUACCACUUCACAGAGAAGAAAAAUUAAACGGACAAAAUUAGUAAGCAAUGGUGGAGAGAUUCUGGCCCAAAUCGCCUGCUUCCAGAAUGGGUGCCCCUCCCCACUAACCCUGCUGCCUCUGUUCCAACUUACUUUCUUUUCUAGUCCUCAAAGGAAACUCUUCCUGCCUGUGGUGUGCUAAAGCAGGUGGCACCCCACAGAACACUGCCUAAGGUUUGCUUGUCGAGAACGUGUUUGGCAAGUGCAAAUACAGGACCUGGAAAAGCUGAGCAUAAUUCUUUAAUCUCAUCUACAUGAAGUAGGUGUUAUCUUGGGCAGGUUUCUGACGGAAUGAAAGGAGGAAGGGAAAUGAGGGAAAGAGGUUCCCAAAAAAGGAAUGUAGACACGCAAGGCCCUGGGCAGCCAGCAUGGGAGCGGCAGGGUGGGGCAGAGCCUGGGCAGGUGAGCAGAUAAGGAAAAUAUGGGGAAAAUACAAUCCAGGUUGCCUACUUGGCAAUUUGAUUAAGGCUGAUGCUGGAGACAAAUGUAUAAGGUUUUAAACUGGUUUAGGGGGACUGAGUGAGAACAACGUUUUACUGAUUUGCAGGUGGCUGGGUGUAUGAGUGCUGGCGUGUGUGGCUGGAGGUGGCUAAUGGAGGCCAAAUGUCAGGAAAUUUGGCAAGAUGCCUUCAUGCACCGGGGUUAGGCCUGGGAUUUAUAAGCUAACGGGUUUCAGGCUGCCCCUCAGAUCAUACCAUCUAGGAUGUGGCUGGCACCUCGUAGGCCCUCACUAACAUGUGAGCAGCGAAGGGAUGAAUCUAGCAAUUGCCCACAGUGCUGGCGUGUUAAGUCAGGCUCAAUACUGAACAGCUAUUUUUCUGACUGACUGGAUCUACCAAGUUAUGAUUUUUUCAUACUUGUCUAUCCCAACCCUUGCUGUGGUUGUCGGUGUGCAGAGCAGGGCGGGGGUCUUGAGCACUUGGGUCGGCCAGGGGCUGCUCUCCCAGUGCCCAGCACAGGGCGUGCUCUGUCCUCAGGGCUUAAAUCUUUUCUGAAUAAAUGAUUAAUUGUUGUUAAUGUGGGAUAAAAAUCAAAGUCUAUCUUUUAGGUCUCAUGUUCCCUCUUUUCUCUUCUAGGCUAAAGGUGGUGACCCAGAUCCCUGCAUUUUGAUAGCCUGAUACAACCGGCUCAUUACUGAUAAACUCAGGUGAAGCCUUCUUUCUUUCAGUUAGCGACAGUGCUAAAAGCUGGUAAACUGGAUGGACAAUCGGCUUUGAAGAUGAGUCAGCUAUGAGGAGCCUCUGAGGCUUCAGUUUCACCUUGAAAACAUCCUCUCUGAACAUCAGAAGUGCACUUUAUCCCUGAACAAAUGAUGAAUUUGUUAUUAAGGAGAAUCUCUUCUUGGACCACAAGCAUUCCCUGAAAUAUAAUCCUGCAAUGUGGACACUGGAGAUUAUAUUGUGGAAAGUUUCCUGGUAUGUAGAAUUCUGGGAAGAAACCAGUGUAUUUGUGGGGUUGGCAAACAUGAUGAUUUCUUAUUGUGUUAUUUAGUGUUAUCGUGAUAAUAACAUCUAUAUAGUACUUAUUUACAAAUUAUUGCACAAACAUUUAAUUUUGUAAGAUAAGUGUAAUAAUUAUGUUAUUAUUGUUAUUAUUAUUACUGGACAUAAUUACGUUUUCUCCAUUUUAUGGAUUAAGAAAUCAAAUAUCUUGCCAAAGGUACACAGCUAGUUAACUUGAACUGAAAUCAUUACUGCAAUUUAAGAACAGAACUUUUGAUUAGAUAUCUUGUGCUCUUUUCACCUCUUAAUUUAAUAUUGUACUUAGGGGCGCCUGGGUGGCUCAGUUGGUUGGGUGUCUGAUUCUUGAUUUUGGCUCAGGUCAUGAUCCCAGGGUCAUGGGAUGGUGCCCUGAGUUGGACUCCAUGUUGAGUGUGGAACCUGCUUAAGAUUCUCUGUCUCUGUUUCUCCCUCUGUCCCUCUCUCCAAAAUAAACUGAAAUAAAAAUAUAGAUGGUUCAGUUUGUUUCUUUU